GUUGGGGGUCUAGGGCCGAUGUGGGGCUGUGGGGGGCUAUUGGGGGAGCUAUCCAGUUCUAUGGGGAAUCUAUGAGCGGCCAUGGGUGGGCUGUAGGAGGGUCGUGGGGGGAUAUGUGUCCAUAAGGGUGAGUGGGUGAGCUAUAGGAGGGUUAUGGGGCGACAUGUGUCCAUAAGGGGCAGUGGGUGGGCUUUAGGAGGGUUAUAGGUGGUUUGGGGGCUAUAGCGGGCAGUGGGUGCACUGUAGGAGGGUUCUAGUGGGAUAUGGGAUAUAGCCCAUAUGUGGGCUGUGGUGUGUCUAUAGGGAGAUGUGAGGCAAUAGUGAGUUUAUAGUGGGGAUUGGGGGCUUUAGGGGGUUGUGGAAUGCUGUGAGAGGAGAUAGGGUGACAGAGGGCUGGGGGAAGCUAUAGGGAGAGUUGUCAUGCUCUAGGGGGCUGUUGGGGGCUAUAGGGGAGUUAAUGGGGGAUAUAGGGUGAUAUGGGUCUGUAGGGAGUAUAUGGGGCUAUGGUUCUAUAAGAGACUGUGUGUGGCCAUAGUGUAAAAUGGGGCUAUGGGCUGGGCUAUAAGGGAUGUGGGGCUUCCCUCUCCCUUUAAAUGAUUAAUGGGGGCUAUGAGGAGUUGUGGUGGGCUGUGGGAAGGUAUAGGAUGAUAGGGGGCUGGGGAGGGUGUAUAGAGAGGGAUGUUGUGCCAUAGAGGGGCUGAUGGGGGCAGUGGGGGAAUAUAGGGAGUUAUGGGCCUAUAGGAGGUGUAUGGAAGUUAGUUGUGGUUCUAUAAGGUGCUGUGCGGGGCUAUAGGGUGGGCUCCAAGGGGAUGUAGGGAUAGAAGGCUCUUUCCCCCUGCCCCCCCUCUUUCACCUGCCUUUAAACCCUUCCAUAGAAGGGUGGCUGAAAUGCCAGUCAUGAAUGCCAGUCAGUUGUAUUGGAAUAGAAUAGGAUUGUUUUGUGGUCUUAAAUCUGAACCAUGUUUUCUCCUUGGGCUCCAGGUACAGAUAUUGUUUAAUAAUGACUUUGGAGAAGUUUUUGGUAUCCAGUCUCCUGAUCAGGAAGAAAGAAGAAUGUUUUUGGAGGACUUAAUCACGAGUGGAGCUGCUGCUGAACCUCCACUUCCAAGAAGCAAGCAGGCUGGGCAGACACGGGAAGCACUGCCUGCAGCAGCACCAGCUGAGCCCUGUGUGCCAGAGGAAGGAACGCGGCGUGUGGAGGAGCAGGAGGAGGAGCCCCUGCGUGAGUGUGCGUGUUGUGCAGGGCCGUUCCUCACAGACUGCCACUGACAGACGUUGGGGCAUUGCAGAGCCUGUUGGUGCGGCGGAGGUCAAGCGGUGUUGAUGUGUAAUGCCAUUUGAUCUGCGUGCAUGCAGAAUUUCCCCGUGUUUGUAUGUC